AGGGGCAUGGCUCAGUGGUAGAGUGUCUACCUAGCAAGUGUGAAGCUCUGAGUUCAAACCCCAGUACCACCC
rnacentral:tRNA from 1 species